UUACUUUAAUAGAUAGGUCUAUUUCGUUAGUUGUAAUGGGUGUAUAUUGUCCAUUCAGUUGGGUGUAUCUUGUCCAUUCAUUCGGGUGUAUUACUGAUUUGUUUUCGUAUUUAAGGGAUACGUAUUUUCAAGAUUGAUAACAUAUGCCGGCGGGGAACCUCUUCAGAAAGGGGAGAGGGAGAAGGAAAUUAAAUCACCAUAUGUUAAAAUAUUUGGCCAAAAAACAAGCUAUGACUGCGCUGUGUACGUUAUGAAGUGGAUGGAGAUAAUUGAGCCGGAAAACAUCAAAAAGGGAAAGUAUCAAUGGGAUAAUUGGCCACAGGAGGAGGUGGACCACUAUAGAGUGGAAUACGCAUC